rnacentral:rRNA from 1 species
GAUGAACGCUGGCGGCGUGCCUAAUACAUGCAAGUCGAGCGAACAGACGAGGAGCUUGCUCCUCUGAUGUUAGCGGCGGACGGGUGAGUAACACGUGGAUAACCUACCUAUAAGACUGGGAUAACUUCGGGAAACCGGAGCUAAUACCGGAUAACAUGUUGAACCGCAUGGUUCAACAGUGAAAGACGGUCUUGCUGUCACUUAUAGAUGGAUCCGCGCCGCAUUAGCUAGUUGGUAAGGUAACUGCUUACCAAGGCAACGAUGCGUAGCCGACCUGAGAGGGUGAUCGGCCACACUGGAACUGAGACACGGUCCAGACUCCUACGGGAGGCAGCAGUAGGGAAUCUUCCGCAAUGGGCGAAAGCCUGACGGAGCAACGCCGCGUGAGUGAAGAAGGUCUUAGGAUCGUAAAACUCUGUUAUUAGGGAAGAACAAAUGUGUAAGUAACUAUGCACGUCUUGACGGUACCUAAUCAGAAAGCCACGGCUAACUACGUG